rnacentral:rRNA from 1 species
CAGUAGCCGCGGUAAUACGAAGGGGGCUAGCGUUGUUCGGAAUCACUGGGCGUAAAGGGUGCGUAGGCGGAUUCUUAAGUCAGGGGUGAAAUCCCGAGGCUCAACCUCGGAACUGCCUUUGAUACUGGGGAUCUUGAGUCCGGAAGAGGUGAGUGGAACUGCGAGUGUAGAGGUGAAAUUCGUAGAUAUUCGCAAGAACACCGGUGGCGAAGGCGGCUCACUGGUCCGGAACUGACGCUGAGGCACGACAGCGUGGGGAGCAAACAGGAUUAGAUACCCGCGUAGUCCCUGUCUCUUAUAC